rnacentral:misc_RNA from 1 species
UGAACGAUGGCUUUUUCGGGAUCUAAAGAAGAUGGAAGAGAGGUGAAGAUUUACGAGUAUUUGGAUGAACUAAGCACUGAUCUAGCAGACUAUAUUUCAGAACUCUCAGAAGCUUCUGUGAAAGAGAGGGGAGUAUUUGCCAUCGCGUUAUCUGGUGGAUCCCUCAUUAGCUUAAUUACAAAACUAUGUGAAGUCCCUUACAGCAAGACUGUUGAUUGGUCCAAAUGGUAUAUAUUUUGGGUGGACGAACGUGUUGUGGCGAAGAAUCAUGUUGAUAGUAAUUACAAGCUAGCCAAAGAUGUUUUUUUGUCUAAGGUCCCUAUAGUUCCAAGCCAUGUACAUUCGAUUAACGACACAGUGACAGCUGAGAAGGCUGCUGAAGACUAUGAGUUUGUAAUUAGACAGCUAGUAAGGACUCGUGUAAUCAGCGUUUCAGACGUUAGUGACUGCCCCAAGUUUGACCUCAUCUUACUCGGGAUGGGACCUGACGGUCACAUUGCAUCUCUAUUCCCUGAUCACUCCAUACUCGAUGAGAAAGACGAAUGGGUAACUUUUGUUACCGACUCACCUAAGCCACCUCCGGAGAGGAUUACUUUUACUUUGCCUGUCAUUAACUCUGCUUCUAAUGUGGCUGUGGUUGUAACUGGAAGCAGCAAAGCAGAGGCUGCACAUUUGGCAAUUGAUGAUGUCGGACCUGACGUUCCGUCAUCGCCUGCAAAGAUGGUCCAGCCAAAUAAAGGGAAAUUAGUAUGGUAUCUGGAUAAAGCAGCAGCCUCAAAACUAGAUUGCACAAGAUUUUCAGAGUAGGGCCUAAGGGUUACAAGCUCCCUCUUGUCAACAAAAUGUACAACAA